UCCAGGGCCCUACGGGGCGCAGCAGGCGCGAAACCUCCGCAAUGUGAGAAAUCGCGACGGGGGGAUCCCAAGUGCCAUUCUUAACGGGAUGGCUUUUCAUUAGUGUAAAGAGCUUUUGGAAUAAGAGCUGGGCAAGACCGGUGCCAGCCGCCGCGGUAACACCGGCAGCUCUAGUGGUAGCAGUUAUUAUUGGGCCUAAAGCGUCCGUAGCCGGUUUAAUAAGUCUCUGGUGAAAUCCUGUAGCUUAACUAUGGGAAUUGCUGGAGAUACUAUUAGACUUGAGAUCGGGAGAGGUUAGAGGUACUCCCAGGGUAGAGGUGAAAUUCUGUAAUCCUGGGAGGACCGCCUGUUGCGAAGGCGUCUAACUGGAACGAUUCUGACGGUGAGGGACGAAAGUUAGGGGCGCGAACCGGAUUAGAUACCCGGGUAGUCCUAACUGUAAACGAUGCGGACUUGGUGUUGGGAUGGCUUUGAGCUGUCUCAGUGCCGAAGGGAAGCUGUUAAGUCCGCCGCCUGGGAAGUACGGUCGCAAGACUGAARCUUAAAGGAAUUGGCGGGGGAGCACCCACCAACGCGUGGAGCCUGCGGUUUAAUUGGAUUCAACGCCCGG
rnacentral:rRNA from 1 species